GCAUCUUUUUAUUUUUAAAAGACCUAGCAAUAGGUAUGCUUAGGGAAGAGCUUGCGUCACAUUAGUUAGUUGGUGGGGUAAUGGCCUACCAAGACGAUGAUGUGUAGCCGGGCUGAGAGGUCGAACGGCCACAUUGGGACUGAGACACGGCCCAAACUCCUACGGGAGGCAGCAGUAAGGAAUUUUCGGCAAUGGAGGAAACUCUGACCGAGCAAUGCCGCGUGAACGAUGAAGUAUUUCGGUACGUAAAGUUCUUUUAUUAGGGAAGAAAAGAUGGUGGAAAAACCAUUAUGACGGUACCUAAUGAAUAAGCCCCGGCUAACUAUGUGCCAGCAGCCGCGGUAAUACAUAGGGGGCAAGCGUUAUCCGGAAUUAUUGGGCGUAAAGGGUGCGUAGGCGGUUAAAUAAGUUUAUGGUCUAAGUGCAACGCUCAACGUUGUGAUGCUAUAAAAACUGUUUAGCUAGAGUUGGAUAGAGGCAAGUGGAAUUCCGUGUGUAGUGGUAAAAUGCGUAAAUAUACGGAGGAACACCAGAAGCGAAGGCGGCUUGCUGGGUCUUAACUGACGCUGAGGCACGAAAGCGUGGGGAGCAAACAGGAUUAGAUACCCUGGUAGUCCACGCCCUAAACGAUGAGUACUAAACGUUGGAUAAAACCAGUGUUGAAGUUAACACAUUAAGUACUCCGCCUGAGUAGUACGUACGCAAGUAUGAAACUUAAAGGAAUUGACGGGACUCCGCACAAGCGGUGGAUCAUGUUGUUUAAUUCGAAGGUACCCGAAAAACCUCACCAGGUCUUGACAUGCUUUUGCAAAGCUGUAGAAAUACAGUGGAGGUUAUCAGAAGCACAGGUGGUGCAUGGUUGUCGUCAGCUCGUGUCGUGAGAUGUUGGGUUAAGUCCCGCAACGAGCGCAACCCUUGUUGUUAAUUGCCAUCAUUAAGUUGGGGACUUUAGCAAGACUGCCAAUGAUAAAUUGGAGGAAGGUGGGGACGACGUCAAAUCAUCAUGCCCCUUAUGACCUGGGCUACAAACGUGAUACAAUGGCUGUUACAAAGGGUAGCUAAAGCGUAAGCUUCUGGCGAAUCUCAAAAAAGCAGUCUCAGUUCGGAUUGAAGUCUGCAACUCGACUUCAUGAAGUUGGAAUCGCUAGUAAUCGCGAAUCAGCAUGUCGCGGUGAAUACGUUC
rnacentral:rRNA from 1 species